UUAAUUUAUGUUAAUGAUAUCGAUGAUGGGCUCACUUGCAAAGUAUCAAAAUUUGCUGAUGACACAAAAAUUGCUAGUAAAGUAACUGCGAUACUCGACGAAGAAGCUUUACAAUCAGAUAUAGAUCGACUUGCACGUUGGGCCAAUCAAUGGCAAAUGAAAUUUAACGUUGAGAAAUGUAAAGUGUUGCACAUCGGAAAAAAUAACAAUCGCGUUCGGUAAGUAAUGAAUGGCCAACAACUUUCUGCAGUAAGUAAAGAAAGGGAUCUUGGAAUCACUAUAUCAAGCGAUUUAAAGCCCGGUCAGCAUUGUUCAGAGGUAGUUAAAACUGCAAACAAAUUGGUUAUCUUCAUCGGACGAGUCUUUAAUGAUAAAUCGGAAAAAGUAAUAUUGAAACUGUAUAAUUCGUUGGUUCGACCCCGUCUAGAGUACUGUGUACAGUUUUGGUCUCCCUACUACAGAAAAGACAUAGAAAAGUUGGAACGGGUCCAACGAAGAGUAACAAAGAUGAUUCCUAGGUUGAGAAAUUUGUCAUAUGAACAAAGGCUUAAAGAAGUAAAUUUAUUGAGCCUAUCAAAACGAAGAAUGCGAGGCGAUCUAAUAGAAGUGUUUAAAAUGUUUAAAGGAUUCAGUGAUAUUAAUGCGGAAGAUUACUUUACAAUUGAUCGAUCAAAUAGAACAAGAAGAAAUCACAAUUUGAAGAUAAGUGGUAAAAAAUUAUCGUCGCACGAAGCUAAACACUUCUUCUUCAAUCGAGUUAUUAAUGUUUGGAACUCUCUACCCUGUGAUGUCGUUGAUAGUACAACAGUUACGGCCUUCAAGAAUAGAUUAGACAAGUGUUUUGAAUCCAACCAGCAAUUAAGAUAUUACUCAUUGUCAUAUUAACGUUAAGUAAAAGAUUCUCGUCGCACGAAGCCAAACACUUCUUACAUCGAGUCGUUAAUGUUUGGAACUCUCUACCCUGUGAUGUCGUUGAUAGUACAACAGUUACGGCCUGCAAGAAUAGAUUAGACAAGUGUUUUGAAUCUAACCAGCAACUAAGAUAUUACUCAUUGUCGUAAUAACGUUAAGUUCUUUCGAAUACUGGUGUCCUUGUCCGCUUUUAUCGCCCGGUUAGUGGUAGCAGUAAUGGUAGUUCUUUCCUCUUUCCUACAUAAAUUCCAUGCAGUUUUUCCAUGCUGCAUGGUUCUUUUUCCUUUCCUGCCAGCUUUGGCUGGAGGGAUGGGGGGGUGGGGAGGAGCCUUCGCCUUUGCUGUCCUUCAUCUUCCACCUUUGAUUAGAUAGUUAGUGUAGCUUGUCACAAACAACCUCGUAAGGACCAGCAGGUCUGCUGUUGUUUGUUCUUCCUUUGUGUUACUUUGUGUGUGUUCCUCCUCCUCCUACUCCUACUCCUCCACUUCCUCCUCCUCCUUCUCCUCCUCCUCCUCUUCACCAUACCCCCCUCCCUCCCUCCCUUAUCGCUAGUGCAAUGAACAAGCCACUCAUGUCUAACCCCUCUUCCCCUCUCCCCAGUCCCCAGCGCGCGCAUCACCGGCCCCAGGGAGAUCUUCAUGAAGGCGGGCAGCGACAUCAACAUCACGUGCGUGAAGGGCGCCAUCAGGGGAGCGCCCGUCACCUGGUACCACGUGCUGCCCCGCUACCUACCCAAGGAGGAGCUGGUGGAGAUCAACGCCGGGAGUCGGGGCGGCGUGCAGCUCGUGACGGACAAGAACUCGGGCACCAGCUGGCUCCUGGUCACCCACGCCACCUGGAGGGACGCCGGGAACUAUACGUGCGCGCCUGUGCACGCCACGCCCGCCUCGGUGUCCGUCCACGUGCUCGACGAGGCUCCAGCCGAGCUCCAAAACGACCCCCAGCCGAGCCGGGCCCAGACGUCCACCCAAGGAACGCCAGGCCUUCCGCUGCUCCUGCUGGGGCUUCACCGUCUGCUGGGGCGCAACAGGACGAGAACGUGGUGCCUCUGGGUUCUCCUGGCUGCCUGUCUAGGGUUCUCCAGCGCCGUCAGUGGUACGGGUGGCCUUCAGGACGUCUCUCAGACUAGUAAGGAAGCCAAGGCAUUGUUGAAAGUCGCCGCGAGGGAGGAAGGUGGUUUGCGGAUAUCCUUUGCUUCUACACUUCCUCCUCUUCUCUCUUUGUAUCCUACACUUCAUUCUCGUCUCCCCCAUCCUUCAUCUG